rnacentral:lncRNA from 1 species
GAUAGGAGAAAAAUGUAAUAGGUCUUUUCUACUAAAAGCCUUCUUAAAAGGAAUGAGCAAAAAAUCCCUUUCAGAAUUGGUGUGACAUAAAUGUAACAUAGAAAUGAAGCAAUGACCUGUUUCCUACUGAAAGAAAAAUUGCUUACUUUUAUGGUGACAUUGUCAAGGGCUCUUGUUCUUUUAGAAUUUUUUCCCCAUACAGCAGCUGACAGCUCAGUGUGCCUGUGUGUGCAGAGAAGAGAUUCAGCCCUUUUGAUGAGCAUCAUUUUCUCAAUCAACAUUGCAGUGCCAAUGAUCUGAACCAUUUUGUUCAGCAUUUUGCAGUGACAGCUCUCUGCAGUGAGC